UGGCUGUUUUAUCUCCCACAGAGGGAGUGCGUUCUUCCUACAAGACCGAUCCAGAAGAAUGUGAGGUCCAAGUCCCCAGUGGCCGGACUUACAUAAGCUGAGUGUUAAAGUCCUAUUCUGCAGGCUGCAGUGGUGAAUAACAAGAAAAUAGCCCUUAUGAGAAUGACAUGUGAGAAAUAUGCUCGGCAUUUGAUAUACUGGAGAGAGAGCGGUGAUGCGCGGUCAUCGGGGAGCAAAUUCUGCGCUGGGUUUUCCUAGCGUUGUAUGAGGGAGGCCAGCAUCUGUCUUCUCCCUCUUUCUCUAAGUCUCUCUUAGUUUUAAAGUUGGAAUUCAGCCUUCUUGGAAUCAGAUAUCCAACGACGAGAGAACAUUAGAUCAGAUUAGAUUAAGAUCAUUGAGGAGGACGUGUUCAGAGAAAGUUAUAAGAUAUGUGUGUGGAAGCUGCCUUUGAAAUACAGUGGGUGCGCACCACAUUUUUAAAAACCUAUUUACAUUUUAACUAUUUAUGUGACAGCUCUUGUCAUUCCCUAAUGACUUGACCCCUCAAGUUACUGAUGCAUCAAGGAGAAGAAAAACAGCCCAGCUGCCAGGAUAUAAUGUUAGCAGUUAACAUGAUUACAGCCAACAAGGCUGCCAAAUGACCAACCAAACUUCGGUACCAGUGGAUAUUUUAAGGACACCUGGGCAUAUUUCCAUCCCUGAUCAUGGCGAUCAAAAAAAGCUCUCCAGGAAUCUUCUUAGAGAAAGGGGGAGAGAAGAAGAGCGAAGGAGACGGAGCUGCCUGGAGGUCCAAAACAGCGAGGGGAACCACAUCCAAUUCUUGGAAACAGCUGACAUGAUUCACUAUGCAUUCAGCAGCUUUCAAAGGCUUCUGCUGCAUGAGAGGUCCAUCAGCGGAGCCAGAGAUCGUAUCUCUCUCAUAGUCUGCUGAAGAAAGCUCAAGAAAUUUGCCAGAAUUA